rnacentral:rRNA from 1 species
GAUGAACGCUGGCGGCGUGCCUAAUACAUGCAAGUCGAGCGAACAGACGAGGAGCUUGCUCCUCUGACGUUAGCGGCGGACGGGUGAGUAACACGUGGAUAACCUACCUAUAAGACUGGGAUAACUUCGGGAAACCGGAGCUAAUACCGGAUAAUAUAUUGAACCGCAUGGUUCAAUAGUGAAAGACGGUUUUGCUGUCACUUAUAGAUGGAUCCGCGCCGCAUUAGCUAGUUGGUAAGGUAACGGCUUACCAAGGCAACGAUGCAUAGCCGACCUGAGAGGGUGAUCGGCCACACUGGAGCUGAGACACGGUCCAGACUCCUACGGGAGGCAGCAGUAGGGAAUCUUCCGCAAAGGGCGAAAGCCUGACGGAGCAACGCCGCGUGAGUGAUGAAGGUCUUCGGAUCGUAAAACUCUGUUAUUAGGGAAGAACAUAUGUGUAAGUAACUGUGCACAUCUUGACGGUACCUAAUCAGAAAGCCACGGCUAACUACGUG